rnacentral:lncRNA from 1 species
AAAAACUAAAGACUGAAGUUACGACGCCUCUACCCUCUUUCUUUCGCUCGGUUGCCCUCCUUAACACCUCCUACCAAAUCGACGAAUCGGUUUUCAGACAAAAUUCAAGCUCGAUUUAGAACGAGAUGUGAAGCUUUUAGGGUUAUAAAAUUUUAAUGAUGUUAUCGAAAACAUCAUCGUGAGGCAAUCGAUCCUGAUUAGGUCCCUUUGACCUUUCUAUUUCUUGUACAUCAUACUGAUCCCUCCCAGCCGUCACCGACUUGAAUCUCACGGCCUCAUCGGAGUCCUGAAGUGACUUAACGAUCCGUUGACCGAAGACGAAUAUAUCUCACCUAACACGUCACCUGGUGGCCUUUGUCAGUUUGUUUCGUGUAAGGUAUCGAAAUGCUUUUGAUUUGCUUUUUUUGAUGCGUGUACUUUAUUUGACUAUAUAUAUGAAUAUGGGAUUGACGAAUCCGAUUAUGUAUUGGUUCUGAUUCUGUUUUACGUAUUCGUUCUGGCUUUUAAUUAGGGAUUUGAGUUUUGAUUUGGUUUGAAGAUGAGGGAUCGCAAAUAUUAUCCGGGUACCAACUUCUAUGUGGAUCCCAGAUAUUCGGAUGUAUACUCAUUUGGUAUGACACAGGACAACUCUCUAUACAUUGGAAAGCAAUGAGAUGAUUUCCAAAUAUGCUACCAAUGGAAGCCUUGACCCUCAUCUUUGAUGUUUG